ACGAACGCUGGCGGCGUGCUUAAUACAUGCAAGUCAACUGAGCUUAAGGUAGCAAUAUCUUAAGUGCGGUGGCGCACGGGUGAGUAACACGUAGGUAAUCUGCCUUUAGGUCUGACAUAAUCCCGCGAAAGCGGGACUAAAAUCAGAUGAUGCAGCGGCUCGACAUCGAGACAGUUGUUAAACCUUCGGGGCCUAAAGAUGAGCCUGCGUCUGAUUAGGUAGUUGGCGGAGUAAAAGCCCACCAAGCCUGCGAUCAGUAGCUGGUCUGAGAGGAUGAUCAGCCACACUGGAACUGAGACACGGUCCAGACUCCUACGGGAGGCAGCAGUAAGGAAUAUUGCUCAAUGGCCGAAAGGCUGAAGCAGCAACGCCGCGUGGAGGAUGAAAUACUUUUGUAUGUAAACUCCUGUAAGAGGGGAAAAAUAUACAGUUUAUACUGUGUUGAUUGUACCCUCAGAGUAAGCACCGGCUAACUACGUGCCAGCAGCCGCGGUAAUACGUAGGGUGCUAGAGUUGUCCGGAUUUACUGGGUGUAAAGGGUGCUCAGGUGGGUUUGUAAGUCAGAGGUGAAAUCCCAAAGCUUAACUUUGGAGCUGCCUUUGAUACUGCAAGUCUGGAGUUUGAGAGAGGGCAAUGGAAUAUCUGGUGUAGCAGUGAAAUGCGUAGAUAUCAGAUAGAACACCAAUGGCGAAGGCAGUUGCCUGGCUCAAAACUGACGCCAAAGCACGAAAGUGUGGGGAGCAAACAGGAUUAGAUACCCUGGUAGUCCACACCCUAAACGAUGAAUACUAGAUGUUGGUCCUUUUUAGGAUCAGUAUCCAAGCUAACGCAUUAAGUAUUCCACCUGGGAAGUACAAUCGCAAGGUUGAAACUCAAAGGAAUUGACGGGGGCCCGCACAAGCAGUGGAGCAUGUGGUU
rnacentral:rRNA from 1 species